rnacentral:rRNA from 1 species
AUUGAACGCUGGCGGCAUGCCUUACACAUGCAAGUCCGAACGGCAGCACGGGGGCAACCCUGGUGGCGAGUGGCGAACGGUGAGUAAUACAUCGGAACGUGCCCUGAAGUGGGGGAUAACGUAGCGAAAGUUACGGCUAAUACCGCAUAUUCUGUGAGCAGGAAAGCAGGGGAGUCGCAAGACCUUGCGCUUUAGGAGCGGCCGAUGUCGGAUUAGCUAGUUGGUGAGGUAAAGGCUCACCAAGGCGACGAUCCGUAGCGGGUCUGAGAGGGAUGAUCCGCCACACUGGGACUGAGACACGGCCCAGACUCCUACGGGAGGCAGCAGUGGGGGAAUUUUGGACAAUGGGCGCAAGCCUGAUCCAGCCAUGCCGCGUGAGUGAAGAAGGCCUCGGUUG